UACGUAGGUCCCGAGCGUUGUCCGGAUUUAUUGGGCGUAAAGCGAGCGCAGGUGGUUUAUUAAGUCUGGUGUAAAAGGCAGUGGCACAACCAUUGUAUGCAUUGGAAACUGGUAGACUUGAGUGCAGGAGAGGAGAGUGGAAUUCCAUGUGUAGCGGUGAAAUGCGUAGAUAUAUGGAGGAACACCGGUGGCGAAAGCGGCUCUCUGGCCUGUAACUGACACUGGGGCUCGAAAGCGUGGGGAGCAAACAGG
rnacentral:rRNA from 1 species